GACGAACGCUGGCGGCGUGCUUAACACAUGCAAGUCGAACGAUGAACUUGGAGCUUGCUCUGGGGGAUUAGUGGCGAACGGGUGAGUAACACGUGAGUAACCUGCCCUGGACUCUGGGAUAACUUCGAGAAAUCGGAGCUAAUACCGGAUAGGACCUUGCACCGCAUGGUGUGGGGUGAAAGUUUUUCGGUUUGGGAUGGACUCGCGGCCUAUCAGCUUGUUGGUGAGGUAAUGGCUCACCAAGGCGUCGACGGGCAGCCGGCCUGAGAGGGUGACCGGCCACACUGGGACUGAGACACGGCCCAGAAUCCCACGGGAGGCAGCAGUGGGGAAUAUUGCACAAUGGGCGCAAGCCUGAUGCAGCAACGCCGCGUGCGGGAUGACGGCCUUCGGGUUGUAAACCGCUUUUAGUAGGGAAGAAGCCUUCGGGUGACGGUACCUGCAGAAAAAGGACCGGCUAACUACGUGCCAGCCGCCGCAGUAAUAC
rnacentral:rRNA from 1 species